UGGAGUUUUACGCCAGUGGUUUGCCAGGAGCUCUCGGACCUUUGGCCACAGACCGAAGGCUGCACUGUCACCUUCCCUGCUUUUGAGGUUUUGGGACUUGGACUGCCUUCCUGGCUCCUC